UACGUAGGGUGCGAGCGUUGUCCGGAAUUAUUGGGCAUAAAGAGCUCGUAGGCGGCUUGUCACGUCGGUUGUGAAAGCCCGGGGCUUAACCCCGGGUCUGCAGUCGAUACGGGCAGGCUAGAGUUCGGUAGGGGAGAUCGGAAUUCCUGGUGUAGCGGUGAAAUGCGCAGAUAUCAGGAGGAACACCGGUGGCGAAGGCGGAUCUCUGGGCCGAUACUGACGCUGAGGAGCGAAAGCGUGGGGAGCGAACAGG
rnacentral:rRNA from 1 species